rnacentral:rRNA from 1 species
GACGAACGCUGGCGGCGUGCUUAACACAUGCAAGUCGAACGGAAAGGCCCUUCGGGGUACUCGAGUGGCGAACGGGUGAGUAACACGUGGGUGAUCUGCCCUGCACUUUGGGAUAAGCCUGGGAAACUGGGUCUAAUACCGGAUAGGACCACGGCAUUCAUGUGCUGUGGUGGAAAGCUUUUGCGGGGUGGGAUGGGCCCGCGGCCUAUCAGCUUGUUGGUGGGGUAAUGGCCUACCAAGGCGACGACGGGUAGCCGGCCUGAGAGGGUGACCGGCCACACUGGGACUGAGAUACGGCCCAGACUCCUACGGGAGGCAGCAGUGGGGAAUAUUGCACAAUGGGCGCAAGCCUGAUGCAGCGACGCCGCGUGAGGGAUGACGGCCUUCGGGUUGUAAACCUCUUUCGCCAGGGACGAAGCGCAAGUGACGGUACCUGGAGAAGAAGGACCGGCCAACUACGUG